AAUGCAGUCGAGCGGAAGAAGGGAGCUUGCUCCCGGAUGUUAGCGGCGGACGGGUGAGUAACACGUGGGUAACCUGCCUGUAAGACUGGGAUAACUCCGGGAAACCGGAGCUAAUACCGGAUAGUUCCUUGAACCGCAUGGUUCAAGGAUGAAAGACGGUUUCGGCUGUCACUUACAGAUGGACCCGCGGCGCAUUAGCUAGUUGGUGGGGUAAUGGCUCACCAAGGCGACGAUGCGUAGCCGACCUGAGAGGGUGAUCGGCCACACUGGGACUGAGACACGGCCCAGACUCCUACGGGAGGCAGCAGUAGGGAAUCUUCCGCAAUGGACGAAAGUCUGACGGAGCAACGCCGCGUGAGUGAUGAAGGUUUUCGGAUCGUAAAGCUCUGUUGUUAGGGAAGAACAAGUGCGAGAGUAACUGCUCGCACCUUGACGGUACCUAACCAGAAAGCCACGGCUAACUACGUGCCAGCAGCCGCGGUAAUACGUAGGUGGCAAGCGUUGUCCGGAAUUAUUGGGCGUAAAGGGCUCGCAGGCGGUUUCUUAAGUCUGAUGUGAAAGCCCCCGGCUCAACCGGGGAGGGUCAUUGGAAACUGGGAAACUUGAGUGCAGAAGAGGAGAGUGGAAUUCCACGUGUAGCGGUGAAAUGCGUAGAGAUGUGGAGGAACACCAGUGGCGAAGGCGACUCUCUGGUCUGUAACUGACGCUGAGGAGCGAAAGCGUGGGGAGCGAACAGGAUUAGAUACCCUGGUAGUCCACGCCGUAUACGAUGAGUGCUAAGUGUUAGGCGGUCUCCGCCCUUUAGUGCUUCAGCUAACGUAUUCCGUACUCCGCCUGGGGGAGUACGGCCGCAAGACUGAACC
rnacentral:rRNA from 1 species